UACGUAGGGUGCGAGCGUUAAUCGGAAUUACUGGGCGUAAAGCGUGCGCAGGCGGCUUUGCAAGACAGAUGUGAAAUCCCCGGGCUCAACCCGGGAACUGCGUCCGAUACUGGAAGGCUUGAAUCCGGGAGAGGGAUGCGGAAUUCCAGGUGUAGCGGUGAAAUGCGUAGAUAUCUGGAGGAACACCGGUGGCGAAGGCGGCAUCCUGGACCGGUAUUGACGCUGAGGCGCGAAAGCCAGGGGAGCAAACGGG
rnacentral:rRNA from 1 species